AACGCUAGCUACAGGCUUAACACAUGCAAGUCGAGGGGCAGCAUGGUCUUAGCUUGCUAAGGCCGAUGGCGACCGGCGCACGGGUGAGUAACACGUAUCCAACCUGCCGUCUACUCUUGGACAGCCUUCUGAAAGGAAGAUUAAUACAAGAUGGCAUCAUGAGUCCGCAUGUUCACAUGAUUAAAGGUAUUCCGGUAGACGAUGGGGAUGCGUUCCAUUAGAUAGUAGGCGGGGUAACGGCCCACCUAGUCUUCGAUGGAUAGGGGUUCUGAGAGGAAGGUCCCCCACAUUGGAACUGAGACACGGUCCAAACUCCUACGGGAGGCAGCAGUGAGGAAUAUUGGUCAAUGGGCGAGAGCCUGAACCAGCCAAGUAGCGUGAAGGAUGACUGCCCUAUGGGUUGUAAACUUCUUUUAUAAAGGAAUAAAGUCGGGUAUGGAUACCCGUUUGCAUGUACUUUAUGAAUAAGGAUCGGCUAACUCCGUGCCAGCAGCCGCGGUAAUACGGAGGAUCCGAGCGUUAUCCGGAUUUAUUGGGUUUAAAGGGAGCGUAGAUGGAUGUUUAAGUCAGUUGUGAAAGUUUGCGGCUCAACCGUGAAAUUGCAGUUGAUACUGGAUAUCUUGAGUGCAGUUGAGGCAGGCGGAAUUCGUGGUGUAGCGGUGAAAUGCUUAGAUAUCACGAAGAACUCCGAUUG
rnacentral:rRNA from 1 species